AAUGACACAGUGAACUGUUGUGAUUAUAAAGGAAAGAAAAUAUGGACAUUCAAAAAUGAAUCUACUAGGUGUCCGCGAGGUAUAACUGUGAAUAAUGAUCAGAAUGUAUAUGUUGUCAGUAGCAAUUCUAACAAUCUACCUCUUAUACAGCAUGACGGGAAAAGGAGUAUAGAGGUUCUUACUUCUAGUGACGAUUUGUUUUCGCCGUUCGCUUUAUGUUGCAACACGAAUUCGUUACUCUUAGGAUAUAAGAAAGGGAACAUGGCACUGUAUCAUGUAUCGGAAUAACA
rnacentral:lncRNA from 1 species